ACUUAAAUUGAAGAGUUUGAUCAUGGCUCAGAUUGAACGCUGGCGGCAGGCCUAACACAUGCAAGUCGAGCGGUAGCACAGAGAGCUUGCUCUCGGGUGACGAGCGGCGGACGGGUGAGUAAUGUCUGGGAAACUGCCUGAUGGAGGGGGAUAACUACUGGAAACGGUAGCUAAUACCGCAUAACGUCGCAAGACCAAAGUGGGGGACCUUCGGGCC
rnacentral:rRNA from 1 species